CUUGGCGUAGCAACCGUCGGGAAUAAUUUCACCACGGCUGCGCUUUUCAAUGUACUCAUCACGAGCAUAUUGAGAGAAACCCCAUUUCUUGGAGACAAUGAUUCUCUGUUGACCGGGGAACUUGUAUUGACAACGACGAAGGGCCUCAAUAGCAGUAGCACGGCUAGAAUCCUUGGUACGGACAGACAUCAAAAUUUGACCGAUGUUUACACGAGCGACCAAACCAUUGGGCUUACCAAAGGCGUGACGCAUACCGGUUUGCAAUCUAUCGGCACCGGCACAUGAAAGCAUUUUGUUGAUACGAACAACAUGGAAGGGGUGUGCACGGACACGAAGGUGGAAACUAUCCUUACCACCAAUCUUAACCAAGUACUUGUUGGCACAGAUACGAGCAGCUUCAAGAGCCUCUGAGGUGAUUUGCUCGUAUUCGUUAGAGACCAAGUGGAUGCAAAGAGGGAACUCGUCAACACCAGCACGCUUACGACCCAAGUCGAAAAUACGAAUCUUGGAAUCGGGAACGGCACGGUUGUAACGAGACUUGGGGUAAGGCUUGUUCUUACAGUAACGGUAGCAACGAGCAGGUCUACGUGCCAUCUUGAAUUACUAGUUAAAGAAGUGGUUGGCGAACGGAGGACUAUUUGUAUGACAAACCAUUUCUCUACCACCACCCAAAAAACAGUCACACAGGA